rfam:Pleurotus ostreatus PC15 unplaced genomic scaffold scaffold_01, whole genome shotgun sequence.
GGGCACUUAGCACAGGGGUAGCGCGUUCGCUUCGCACAGAGUACCAGCCCGCCAGGCCCACAGUGCUUGCGAGAGGUCGUGGGUUCAAAUCCCACAGUGUCCA